rnacentral:rRNA from 1 species
UGAGGAACAUGACCUUCGGCGGGGGAGUAGCCGGCCCAACGGCCGGGUAAUACCGCGUACGACCACUUGGGGACAUCCUCGAGUGGUGAAAGCAGCAAUGCGCCGAUGAAGUGCCUCGCGGCCUAUCAGCUAGUUGGUGGGGUAACGGCUCACCAAGGCGACGACGGGUAGCUGGUCUGAGAGGAUGGCCAGCCACAUUGGGACUGAGACACGGCCCAGACUCCUACGGGAGCAG